CCUACGGGAGGCAGCAGUGAGGAAUAUUGGUCAAUGGGCGAGAGCCUGAACCAGCCAAGUCGCGUGAAGGAUGACGGCCCUACGGGUUGUAAACUUCUUUUGUCAGGGAACAAUUUAGUCCACGUGUGGGCUUAGCGAGAGUACCUGAAGAAAAAGCAUCGGUGAACUCCGUGCCAGCAGCCGCGGUAAUACGGGGGAUGCGACCUUUACCCGGAUUUAUGGGGUUAAAAGGGUGCGUAGGCGGGAUAUCAAGUCAUCGGUAAAAAUUCGGGGCUCAACCCCGUCGUGCCGUUGAAACUGGUGUUCUUGAGUGGGCGAGAAGUAUGCGGAAUGCGUGGUGUAGCGGUGAAAUGCAUAGAUAUCACGCAGAACUCCGAUUGCGAAGGCAGCAUACCGGCGCCCAACUGACGCUGAAGCACGAAAGCGUGGGUAUCGAACAGGAUUAGAUACCCGAGUAGUC
rnacentral:rRNA from 1 species